AAUGAACGUUGGCGGCGUGGAUUAGGCAUGCAAGUCGAACGAAUCCAGUGGGGGCAACUCUGCUGGAGAAGUGGCGAAAGGGGCAGUAAUACAUGGGUAACCUACCUUCAGGUCGUGGAUAGCUUUCCUAACGGAUUGGUAAUACACGGAGUUGUCAUCUAGCGGCAUCACCGGAUGACUAAAGAAUUUCGCCUGGAGAGGGGCCCAUGUCGUAUCAGCUAGUUGGUGAGGUAACGGCUCACCAAGGCGAAGACGCGUAGCGGGUGUGAGAGCACGACCCGCGCCACUGGCACUGAGACACUGGCCAGACUCCUACGGGAGGCUGCAGUCGAGGAUCUUUGGCAAUGAGCGCAAGCUUGACCAAGCGACGCCGCGUGUGCGAUGAAGGCCUUGGGUUGUAAAGCACUGUCGAGGGGGAGGAAGCCGCAAGGUUGACCUAUCCCUGGAGGAAGCACGGGCUAAGUUCGUGCCAGCAGCCGC
rnacentral:rRNA from 1 species